CACGUAGGCGGGUUCUUAAGUCAGAUUUUAAAUCCAACAGCUUAACUGUUGACCUGGAUCUGAAACUGGGAGUCUUGAGUGUAAGAGAGGAAAGCGGAAUUCCUGGUGUAGCGGUGAAAUGCGUAGAUAUCAGGAAGAACACCGGUGGCGAAGGCGGCUUUCUGGCUUAUUACUGACGCUGAUGUGCGAAAGCGCGGGGAGCGAACAGGAUUAGAUACCCUGGUAGUCC
rnacentral:rRNA from 1 species